UUACGGCCAGAGCACGUUGAAACUACGGGUCCCGUACGAUCACCGAAGUUAAGCAACAUCUAUCCUAAUCAGUAUCUAGAUGAGUAACCGCUUGGGAAUACCAGGUACUGUAA